UUCUGUGGCCAUCUAUGAGCAGCAGAGACAAACAGGGAGUUGUUUCUGUUACUAUAUAUGGUAGUGGGUGACAUACUUGUUAGAAGAAUAGAAAACAAGAAAGUGAGAUGGGAGUUUGUGGUGCCUGAGAGGAGCAGCUUUGAGGACUGACUCCCUGAGUGCUUUCCCUUCAUUUGGAUGUCCUAGGGAAAAUCCUUCACAGGUUAUCUGUGUUCCAGCAUGUGUUAAUAGCUAUGCUUCAGAGUGCCAUGGUGUAGAGGAGGAGUGACUUUCGUUGAUUACCAACUAACUGUUAACCACUCAGAAGGGUGUUGGUGGCAAGGACUCAUCUUGGCAAGAGAGGAUGGGUGAGAACCAGACUGGAUGAGCUCUCCUGGGAACAGAAGAGUGCCGUGUCCACUCCCACUCUUUACACCUGCAGAAUUAAUAAGAACAUGGGCCUUUGCCUGGGGAAGAUUGGAACUGGCUGGAGGGUUUCAAGGGGGUGCUAGUCAAGCGAUCCACUUGCCAAGAAACUGUGAAUGGGAGGAAGCCAUCUGUGAAAGUCAAGGGAUGGAGUGGGGGGUGGGGAACAAAUUAAAUAAUUGAAAUCCUGGAGAGGAAGUUAGGUCAUAUCAGUGGUCUCAGACCAGGUGGUCAGUCUCUCAUUGUUCUCAUUUCUUCUUGUGGAGGAUUUUGAGGGAAAAUGCAGCUGGAUGGUCAAAGGUUCCUUCCCUAUUACAGGUUCAUGGAGGCAGAAAGUCUCAUCAUUUUACAGGUAGGCAAAUUGAGGCUAGGAACUUGAGAUUCCCCCCCCCCAAGAUCAUACCCUGAUUGGCUGCUUCCAAGCUGGACCACUCCAUCAUGGGGACUAAGUUGCUAUUUUCCCUGAUCCCAGAUUUGGGGAUGGGCCAUAAGUCCCUGGAUUCUUUCACUAGUAAAUGGGGUUUUGAUGAGAACAUUUUGAUGAGAUGAACUCAGAAGUCAUCUAGUCCAAUCUGCUGACUGUACUGAGAACUGAGGCCCUCCCCCCAGAAGGAAAUGACUUGCCUGUAUGAACCCAGAUCUUUGGACUCUCACUCUCAUGCUUUCUAUUCUACAUAGUCCCUCCCUCUCCCUAUCUUGGCUAAUGGAUUAAAGGAUGCACUGAUCCUCAGGAAGAUGGUUUCUAUCUUUUACAAACAACCAAAGGAUCAUAGAUUUUUUAAAACUUCAGAGUACAAUUAAUUCCCUCCAGUCCAUCCUUUUCAUUUUGAAAAGGAAGAAGCUAAGACCUUGAGAGAAAAAGUGACCUGAUGAAGAUUACACAGCCAGAAAGCAUCAGAGCCAGGAUGAAUAGCACCAAAGCCAGUCAGUAUAAUCUAAUCAACAUUGUAUUAGCACCUACCAUGUGCCAGGCACUCUGCUAAGUACUGGGGAUACAAUGAAUAAAAAGAAAGACAAUCCCUGCUCUCAAAGAGUUCACAAUCUAAUUGGGGGAGACAAUAUACAAGAGGAAGCUAUCAGUUGAUGAGCAAUUAUUAAGUGCUUACUAUGUUCAAAAUGCAGAAACAUGAAAUUAUCUAUAUCAUUGCUAUUGUAGUCUUUUGUAUAAAGAACCCAAGAAGACCUGGGUUCAAAUUCCACCUUCAACAACUAACCUUGAAAUUAACUACAGGCAUAUUACCAAAAGUCCAUCAGUAAAAUGGGAAUGAUAUAAUUUAUUUUAAUUAACCUUUUAUGGUUACUGUGGUGCUCCAGAAUUAAAAUUCUUUCCAAAUUUUAAAGCACUCCAUGAAUGCCAAUUAUGAUCAUCAUCAUCAUUAUCACAAUCAUCAUCAUCAUCAUCAUUAUCAUCAUCAUCAUUGCUGACCCUCCAACCUCACCCAGGACGUUUCUAUUCCGAGGAUUAGGAGGAGCCUCAAAGAUUCAUCAUCUUUCAGCCUCAAAUGCCAGCUCCUUUUGGGGGUGUGGUUGCCCAUAAUCGAGUCUUGGGAGUAAAGUUGGCAAUUUUGCCAGCCCACAGUCCCCCAGGGCUGAGUGGGUAGUGAGCGAAAUAAACACAAUCCAACCCAUCGGGUUUGUCCUAUUUGUCCAGCAUGAGCCGUUCUUGGCGCUUGCUGAGUGGGUCCUUACAAGGUUGAAGUAGCUGGUGGCUUAUUCCUUGAAUCUACAACAAACCCUCCUUUCGCUCAAUAGUCUUUUAGAAUUAAGAUAUUAAUUCAUUGAGUAGUGUGCUGGGUCCUGUGCUAGAAGCUUGGGGUGUGACACCCCCCCCCAAAAAAAAAGAGAAGCUCUGGUCUUGCCCUAGAUUGGAUGUUUAUUUUGUUGUUACAUUAUAAUCUAAACACUUUUCUUGGCCUCAUUGAUACCAGCAAUCCAGGAUUUCCUGUAAAGUCUUACUAGCAUUCACAUAGAACCCAGGAGGGGCACCAUCAUGUUUACCAUGGCCGGCAUCUCUCCCUUCUGAGUCUUCCACUGUCUAAUCAUUCAUCACUUGCUUCCUUUGGAGGCAAUUGUCCAUGGAGCAGUCCUUGGGUGCUGGGCCAGUCUGGAAUCCCCUCCCCCUCUCUCGGUUCAUUGGCAAGCAUGGUCCUGUCUGGGAGACGAUGGUGUUGGCCAUGAGUGUUCAGGUGCUAUUUGUCAUUUGUGGAUAUAAACAAGCCCCAGAGUCUGUCUAGUCUGUCUGGGCCAAAGGCUGGGCUCCCUCCGUCUUGUCCCAUUGUAGCUAGGGAUAAUGAGAGGGCUGGGCAGAGAAUGGGUAAAGGAAGCAGGCAGAGCCAAAGCCAACAGAGACCUCGAAGCCGGAAGGCUUCUGGCAAAGGACUGUUUACACUUGCGCAGCUGAAAGCACCUAGUGUCCAGUGGUUUGGGAUUUCAACACACAGGGGUACCAGAUCUCUAACACCACCACCUCUGGGAUUCUCCCCAUCCUCCCAUCAAAAUUGAGCCAUGGAGAGCAGCCUCUGGCUCUGUCCAGGGCCAGUCACCAACGGUCAACAGAGCAUUGCAGAUGGCUCUCUGCCCCCCCCCCCCAGGACAUUUAGCUUUAUAAAGAGGCAGUUUGGCAUGAUAAUAAUGAUGGCGGUGGUGAGGGUGUUUAUAUAACCCUCUAAGGCUUGGAAAGUAAUGUCCAUCAGUUAUCAGUGGCUCCUCCCAAUAAUCCCAAUAAUGAAGUAAGUUCUAUUAUCACCGCCAUUUUACAUCUGACCUCAGACUCUUCAUAGCCUUUUGACCCUGGGCAAUUCCCUUAACCCUGUUUGCUUCAAUUUCCUCUUCUGUAAAAUGAGCUGGAGAAGGAAAUGGUCAACAACUCCAGUGUCUUUGCCAAGAACACCCCAAAUGGGGUCAUGAAGAGCCAGACAUGACUGAGAAAGCAAUAGCAUUUUAUGGAUGAUGCAAUUGAGUCGGAGGGAUACAAGAGUCAGGGUGUGAACUUGAGUCUUUUGACUUUAAAUCCAACACUUUGCAUAUUCUACCUUUUAAUGUCAAUAUUGCUUAGAGACAUUAAUGAAAAUAAACCAUUAGUUAUACAUUGUAUUCCUUUGCUCGAUCAAUAGGUAUGAUUCUUCGGUUCUGUGGAGGGGAAUGAGAAAGGCUAGAAAACACUAUAUUUGAUGGGAAGUCCUAGGUUCAAAUCUGACCUCAGACACUUCCUAGCUGUGUGACCCUGGGGAAAUCACUUAUCCCCCACUGCCUCGCCCUGACCAUUCUUCUGUUGGAACCAAUACACAGUAUUGAUUACAAGACAGCAGAUAUGGGUUAAAAAAAAGUGGGCAGACCAGGCUAGAAGCUUGGAUAUAGUUAUUUUGUUUAUCUACCAUCUUAUAACCAAUAACUGCAGAAGAGAGGUAAAGGCUAGGCAAUGGGGGGUGUCUUGACCAGGGUCACAUAGCUAGGAAGUAUCUGAGGUCAGAUUUGAACCCAGGACCUCCCAUCGCUGGGCCUGGCUUGCAAUCCACUGAGCUACCUAGCUGCCUCCACUUGUCUACUUUCCAACUUUAGGAACUUGGACAAAUCAACCUUGCUUGAG